rnacentral:lncRNA from 1 species
AACUUAUUCUUUUAUCUUUCAAUGCCCCUUGGCAAUCAUUAUUUCACCUGACCAUUUGAUCUUUUUCUUUUUCUUUUUUCAACUUGAACGGGCUCACACGUGGCUGUUAGAUGAGAUGUGAACCAUGAAAUGUAGUUCAAUCUGCCUAAGAAACCACGAACCUCUUUUUUUGUUUUCGGUUCAGGCAUUUCUUGUAUUACUUUUU